GUAGGGGGCAAGCGUUAUCCGGAUUUAUUGGGUUUAAAGGGUGCGUAGGCGGACUGGAAAGUCAGCGGUAAAAUUGAGAGGCUCAACCUCUUCCCGCCGUUGAAACUGUCGGUCUUGAGUGGGCGAGAAGUAUGCGGAAUGCGUGGUGUAGCGGUGAAAUGCAUAGAUAUCACGCAGAACUCCGAUUGCGAAGGCAGCAUACCGGCGCCCAACUGACGCUGAGGCACGAAAGCGUGGGUAUCGAA
rnacentral:rRNA from 1 species